rnacentral:tRNA from 1 species
GGCUUCGUAUCUCAGCUGGUAGAGCGCUUUUCGCGUUCAGGCAUGGUAUUUCUGUUGCUGGUUCGAAUCCAGCCGAAGCCC